rnacentral:rRNA from 1 species
CUACGGGGGGCAGCAGUGAGGAAUAUUGCACAAUGGGGGGAACCCUGAUGCAGAAACGCCGCGUGGAGGAUGACGCAUUUCGGUGUGUAAACUCCUUUUAUAUGUCAAGAAAAUGAGGGUAGCAUAUGAAUAAGCACCGGCUAACUCCGUGCCAGCAGCCGCGGUAAUACGGAGGGUGCAAGCGUUACUCGGAAUCACUGGGCGUAAAGGACGCGUAGGCGGGUUGGAAAGUCAGGUGUGAAAUCCUACAGCUUAACUGUAGAACUGCACUUGAAACUUCUAAUCUAGAGUAUGGGAGGGGGAGAUGGAAUUAGUGGUGUAGGGGUAAAAUCCGUAGAUAUCACUAGGAAUACCUAAAGCGAAGGCGAUCUCCUGGAACAUUACUGACGCUAAGGCGUGAAAGCGUGGGGAGCAAACAGGAUUAGAUACCCCCGUAGUC